rnacentral:sRNA from 1 species
CAGGGUUUAUUCUCUUCUGAUGCUGCUUUAGUUUUUCCGGUGCUCAAAUGUUUAUUGUCAUGAACAUAGAGGGGGUUUACUGUGAUCUUCCAAUUAACCAACACAAAAGGGUAUAUGUGAUAUGAUGCAAAUUAUGCAAUUCUUGAGUUCGGUCAUAGUUUUACUUAUUUUCAGCAACUUGUAAUUUGUACAGACUCGAUUCUGUUGAGCUUUUGAUUCAGGAAACAAUCAAUUCAGUUUCGGGAGUUUACGGAGCUUUG